UACGUAGGGUGCUACCGUUGUUCGGAAUCACUGGGCAUAAAGAGCGCGUAGGCGGUCUGAUAAGUCAGGUGUGAAAUCCCCCGGCUCAACCGGGGAACUGCACCUGAUACUGUUGGGCUUGAGUGCAGGAGGGGAGAGCGGAAUUCCUGGUGGAGCGGUGAAAUGCGUAGAUAUCAGGAGGAACGCCGGCGGCGAAAGCGGCUCUCUGGCCUGUUACUGACGCUGAGGCGCGAAAGCUAGGGGAGCAAACGGG
rnacentral:rRNA from 1 species